rnacentral:rRNA from 1 species
AAGUCGAGGGGAAACGAUAUUGGAAGCUUGCUUCCGAUGGGCGUCGACCGGCGCACGGGUGAGUAACGCGUAUCCAACCUGCCCAUCACUUGGGGAUAACCUUGCGAAAGUAAGACUAAUACCCCAUGGUCUCCACGGAUGGCAUCUGAAAUGGAGUAAAGGUUUCGGCCGGUUGCGGAUGGGGAUGCGUCUGAUUAGCUUGUUGGCGGGGUAACGGCCCACCAAGGCAACGAUCAGUAGGGGUUCUGAGAGGAAGGUCCCCACAUUGGAACUGAGACACGGUCCAAACUCC